UCUGGUGGGUCUCACGCAACGCGUGGUGGUACUCAUCAUACCAAAAGAAGUUACAGCGGGGAUCGCCAAAUCUGGGACCGGCACUAGGACACUUGUAAUACCAUCGACCCGGGUAUAAUGCCUUUGGACCAGCACACAAAAGGACCAUCCCUGUGACACAACGACAAUACAGAGCGAGUCUUCCUUCCAUGACCUGUGACACAUAAGACAAUACCAUAUAAGAAGUGACGCAAUAAUAGGCAGACACUCAUACGGCGCAAAGAAAUGAAUAUAGGUUAUUGA
rnacentral:lncRNA from 1 species